AAUAGAGCGGGAAUCGAGAUAAGAUCGGAUCCUAGACUAGUAACCAAAAGAGAUCGGAUAUCGCCAGCCAAAGAGUUCUGACAAGGCGAUCGCAUAGGAGAUUGGCGAAAAGUUCGGUCUUGUAUCCAUCCUCUAGUUAUAAGGCAUCAGUGGGUUAAGAAAAGCAUUGUGCGAGUUUCUGGCGCCUUCAAGCGCCAGAAUCCUUAGUUCAAGGUCCUUACGGUAUGCGAUCAUAACAUACACUCUAAGAGAUCGGGAGAGAGUUCUUACCUGAAUUCUCUUAGUCCAAUCCAAACUAAAAUAUCACAACUUCAAUGUUCGAAUUAACCCCCAACAAAAACCCAUUAUACAACACUUAUUCACUAACGGGUUAUCUCAUGUACUCGUGUUUUUAGGCAACCCAAAAUAGUGAAACAUCAAAUAUCCCUGUUAUCUGCACAAAGGAUUAACAUUAUCUUUCCACCCCUUAAUUAUCAAUUUUAAUUUAUAAAGAGCACAAU
rnacentral:misc_RNA from 1 species